rnacentral:rRNA from 1 species
AUUUAAGCAUAUAACUAAGCGGAGGAAAAGAAACUAACUAGGAUUGGUAUAGUAACGGCGAGUGAAGUACCAAAAGCCCAAUCUGUGAAUCGACACUUGUGUUGAAUUGUGGAAUGAAGAUGAGUCCGUCCUGUUUGUAGACCAAGUCCUCUGGAAUGGGGCAGCAUAGAGGGUGACACUCCCGUAUGUCUUUGAAUAUGAGGACUCUUCAAAGAGUCGAGUUGUUUGGGAUUGCAGCUCUAAGGGGUGGUAAAUUCCACCCAAGGCUAAAUACUGGUGAGAGACCGAUAGUAUACAAGUACCGUGAGGGAAAGAUGCAAAGCCGCGCGAAAGCGCCAUCAAAGAGUACCUGAAAUUGCUGAAAAGGAAGCAAAGGAAACUAGUGUAAGCCAUCCUGCACUUCCCUGACUGCUUGCAGUUGGGGCGCUGCGGCUGGUGUUGUUUAUGGCUUGGUUGGCAGUGUAAACUAAUGAUGCUGCUGGCUGUGCAAGGAGUAGACAAUGAAAUAGUUUUCUUUUUCCCGUCUUGAAACAC